rnacentral:tRNA from 1 species
GGCUUUAUAGUCAAUCAUAUUAUGAUAUUAGACUGCAACUCUAAAGUAGGCAUAGCCUAAAGCUU